UUGGCCCGAGAAGCUCCAGCUCGUACUCUGGAGGAACUCCAGACGGAAUCCUUAGCAGUGAGAGUUCAUCCAGAGUCAAGGAGCCGGGGAUGAUGUCCGACGCAAAGGCCAGACAAGGUUCGGUUCUAGCUAUGGGCUCGUCUACGAUACAAGGACUUUGGAGAAUUGGAGCUGACGAACUCCUAGAACUGCUAGAAGAAUAGAUAUCAAAAGACAUUUUGGAUCAAAUGGAAGCCACAAAAUUUUGGAAAAAUCAGAAAAAAUAGCAAACAAGCCCUCGAGGAAGCUAAACGAACAGAAUACAAAGAAGAAAGGACAGAAAAAUGAUAAGAAGUUCUGGAACUAACCUCGAUCGGCCCCA
rnacentral:lncRNA from 1 species